rnacentral:rRNA from 1 species
GAACGCUGGCGGCGUGCUUAACACAUGCAAGUCGAGCGGUAAGGCCCUUUCGGGGGUACACGAGCGGCGAACGGGUGAGUAACACGUGGGUGACCUGCCCUCAGCUCUGGGAUAAGCCCGGGAAACUGGGUCUAAUACCGGAUAUGACUUCAUGACGCAUGUUGUGGAGUGGAAAGCCUUGUGCGGCUGAGGAUGGGCCCGCGGCCUAUCAGCUUGUUGGUGGGGUGAUGGCCUACCAAGGCGACGACGGGUAGCCGGCCUGAGAGGGCGACCGGCCACACUGGGACUGAGAUACGGCCCAGACUCCUACGGGAGGCAGCAGUGGGGAAUCUUGCGCAAUGGGCGAAAGCCUGACGCAGCGACGCCGCGUGAGGGAUGACGGCCU